AGAGUUUGAUCAUGGCUCAGGAUGAACGCUAGCGGCAGGCUUAAUACAUGCAAGUCGAGGGGCAGCGGGGGUAGCAAUACCUGCCGGCGACCGGCAAACGGGUGCGGAACACGUACAGAACCUUCCUUUAAGUGGGGGAUAGCCCAGGGAAACUUGGAUUAAUACCCCGUAACAUAGUGAAAAGGCAUCUUUUUAUUAUUAUAGAUUUAUCGCUUAAAGAUGGCUGUGCGGCUGAUUAGGUAGUUGGCGGGGUAAAGGCCCACCAAGCCUGCGAUCAGUAACUGGUGUGAGAGCACGACCAGUCACACGGGCACUGAGACACGGGCCCGACUCCUACGGGAGGCAGCAGUAAGGAAUAUUGGUCAAUGGACGAAAGUCUGAACCAGCCAUGCCGCGUGAAGGAUGAAGGUCCUCAGGAUUGUAAACUUCUUUUAUCUGGGACGAAAAAGGGAUAUUCUUAUCCACUUGACGGUACCAGAGGAAUAAGCACCGGCUAACUCCGUGCCAGCAGCCGCGGUAAUACGGAGGGUGCAAGCGUUAUCCGGAUUCACUGGGUUUAAAGGGUGCGUAGGCGGGUAGAUAAGUCAGUGGUGAAAUCUUCGAGCUUAACUCGGAAAUUGCCGUUGAUACUAUUUAUCUUGAAUAUCGUUGAGGUUUGCGGAAUAUGUCAUGUAGCGGUGAAAUGCUUAGAGAUGACAUAGAACACCUAUUGCGAAGGCAGCAGGCUAAACGAACAUUGACGCUGAGGCACGAAAGCGUGGGGAUCAAACAGGAUUAGAUACCCUAGUAGUCC
rnacentral:rRNA from 1 species